AGAAAAUUUAUAUUUUUACUCUGACCAUUCACAUGUAACUUUGUUCAAUGUCAUGUUUAGGGUGGGUAAAUGUUGCUACAGUAACAGACUGGAGUGCCAUAUGAGGCAAUAUACACUAUGUACUAUGCACUAUCCUCAACUGUGUAUUGUGGGUCCUCAACUGCUUUCAUAAUCUGGGUAGCGCUCCCCAUCUGCUAUGUAAUUAAAGCUGUGAAUGAGUGUAUGAAGUGUCCAGUGAAAAUUACUUUUAAACGUAAUGUAUUAUAUUGCGUAACUCCCUAAAAUUACGUUACUUAGUUACUUUUUAUGGAAAUGAAUGUGUUGCAUUACUUUUGCAUUACUUUUCUAAUCUGGGCUGGGCUUCCUUGUAUGUGUUUUUUUUUUUUAAUAUACAAAGUUUUAUUUUGGCAAAUGUAAAAGCCCUUUCUAUUUGCAUGUGUUUUUUCAUUUGCAGUGCAUUGAGUUCUCUCGGCCACUGUAGAAAACAAAAAAACUGAUGUUACUUUUUUGGAAAAGUAACUCAGAAUGCAUUAGUUCACUAGUUACGUAAAAAAGUAAUCUGAUUAUGCAACUCGUGUUACUGUAAUGCGAUGCCCCCAACACUGUGUCCAACAUUCCACAUUUCUUUUUUCUUUUCUUUUUUUGGUUAAUUAAGUGCAUCAUCUGGGUAUUUAAAGUGCACUUUAUUAUUAAUAUUGUUAUUGUUAUUUAAUUAUUUCAGUCAUAGUUCAAUAAAAAACUAGCCAGUUAACAUACAGCUUUACUAUAAGUCAAGAUGUAACAUACCGUAUUGUUAAUACAAAGUUAUUUACAUGAUUAAGUGAUUAUUGAAGCACUAAAGAAUCAUAGUAUCUUCAUGUUCAUCUGUUUCUAUGUGCUGCUGUGACACAUGAAGCUGAGAUAUCUGAACACCAUCAAACAUUGAAGAUCUCUGAAAAACUAAAGGAAAUUUCGGAUAUCUCUGAACAACUAAAGCAAAUGUCGAAGUACUGUGAACAAGAAUUGUGCAAGAUCUCUGAACGAUUAAAGCAAAUGUCUUUGACAAAGAAAGGGGAGAUCUCCGAACAAGAAACACCUUUAAUAGAUGAAGUGGAGAUCUUUGAACAAGAAAUAGGUGCUGAUGGCACAAAAGAAGAGACAACGAGAUCAGAGAUGGAGAAAGGUGAAAGUGAACGGUCCAUUAUUGUUGAAGAUACUGCUAUAAGUCAAGCGAUUGGAGGGCCACGUGGGGCUGAUGGGAGAAUCAGAGACAGACAGGGCAAGAGCCUUGUAGUCCGUAACACCGGUACUGAACAUACUGGAGUUUGUACACAUGAAUCAACAGGAAAAGGAGUGAAUGAAGAAACAUCAGUUUAAUGGUAUAAGCACGCACAUAUUGCAGUCUCCACUAUUAUUUUGUUGUUGUUCCAUCUCUUUAGUUUUAUUUUCUACUGUGAAACAGCAGCCAGGGCCGGUGUUGCCACCUUGUGGAAAAACUGAUUAGUGCAAGACCAAGUCAAUGCGCAUGUGUACAAACUAAUACACUAAUAACAAUAUAAAACACACUACAAUCUGAUGAGCUGCUGAGUUAAUGAAUGUUAAUCACAUUGUCUGCAUCUGUGCAUUAUUUUCGCCUACUACAGAAUAAACCAGAAGUGGCUUCUGCUUGUUCUUAAAGGAUGAAUAAUUCCAAAUUAACUCCACAUUAUAAUAUACAUGUAGCGCAUCAAUUCUACAUGGUAAGACUGUUUAACUCUCCCUCUCUUUGCAUGCGUGAGAAAAACACUGAGCUCUCUCAGCUAAGCAAUGGCGAGUUGGGUGCCUUCACACUACAGUUUAUGGUGCGUCAAAUCUGCUGCGCAUCCAUUGAGAUGAAUUAAAAUAGCUUGCCUAAAAGACGGAGAGUGAAACUCUCAAGCGUGCUGUGUUCAAAAUGAGUGAAUCCAAUUGAAAUAUCUGUGUUAAACGUACACUUAGCAUCUAAUUCAAACGUUGGCGAUUGAAAUCUUAACAAUUUCCCUGCUGGAAAAAAAAAAACAUAGCUGGGUUUUGACCACUUCUUUAGCUAAUAUGGCUGGGAGACCAGCUAAAACCAGCUCAGCCAGGCUAGGAGACAAGCUUGACCAGCUCAGCCAGGUUGGUAGACCAGCUAAAACCAGCUACUUCUAGCUUAAACCGACUAAGACCAGCUAACCAGUUUAGGCUGGUAUUUGCAGUUUUUUUAAGCAGGGUUAGCCAAUGCCUAAUGAUAGACAUUAUUUUGUAAAUUUAGUCACAUAUGCGAAUUCUCGCAUUGUGGAGGGUUGCUGUGUCUCUUGAAAAGCUUCUUUGGUUUCAGAUGAAAUGUCGAUGAAAUGAUGAAACACACACACACACAUAUAUAUAUAUAUAUAUAUAUAUAUAGUUGUAUUAAUGUUACACUACAUAACUGUUACCCUUUUAACAUAAUUUGAAUCUCAUAACAAUGUGAGUGCGUGUUGCUGUUUUAUAUGAUUAACACUAAUUAAUGUUCUCAUUCAACUUUGAUCACGGUGUAAAGAUUACAUGACCUUCUCAAACGUUGCAUGUUUUUAUGCUACAUCAAAUAGUAAUGCUUAAAUAUGUAAUCCAAAGAUAUGUUUUUAAAUGAAUCUGGGGCUGGAUUCACAACAAAAACUAUUAAGAAAUAAGUUCCAUAAUAAGUUCGUAAGAAUGUUCCUUAGCGCAAUUCUUGAAAAAUUCUUAAGUUCUCAAAUAUGCUUUUAAGAACUUUUUUUUUCUUAAGAUGAAAAUGACAGUCUUUAUCUGAUUGAAUAAAAGGCGGUUCUUGUUGAAAAUUCACUAAUUAACCCAAUGAAAAACACAUCAAGGAUUGACUUUUUAUGCUGCCUGCAGAUUACCGUAAUAAGCAGCGCACACACUAUUUUUGUCAUGACCUUGAAGAGCGUUUAGCUUCACAUUUUUAAUGCAUCAUGGUUUUGAACAGUUACGUUUAAAGAGCUUGUCUUAAGAUGGAUUGAUCAACAGUCUGAGGUUGUUCUAACUUUAAGAAGCCAUUUAUGAUGAUUUUUAAGAAGAUAUUUUUCAAGAAAUGUAAUUUUUCUUAAGUUUUGUCUUAAGAACAAUCUUACGAAAAAAAGAUAAGGAUAUUCUUAAGAAUAAUUUUUGGGAAUACAAAUAUUCUUAACUUUUUUUCUUAAGUUAGAAAGCAAGAAGAAAAUAGCAGUUAAGAAGAAAUUUAUUUUUAAAAACGUUUCUUCAGUCUGGCCCCUGUUUAUCCAUCCUUUAAUGAUAUGUGAAUGUCAAAUUAUAAAUGUGACCUGAAUUUGGAUAUGAUCUGUAAAUAAAGUGAAACCAUGAAGAAACCCAGAGGCUUAACUGUGUCUUGCACAGUUGUUCCUAUGUUCCUAUGGAGUCAAUUGGUUGCUGAACAAGCCUACUUUACGGAGUAAAAACUACUCACGCAGUACAUCUAAACUCUUCUUCUUUUUUGUGUAUUCAGAAUCUGUCUGUUAGUAAACUGUUUUUUGUUUCAAUGCAAAUUUGAUUAAAAGCCUAAGUUAUUUCUCUGCCCCCUGAGUAACGUCAUUAUGGUAGCUUUACAUUUUAACCAAUGUGGUUCAAACGAUGGAUCUGCGACAAAGUACUGCUCUGGUUACUAACGUAACCUUGGUUCCCUGAGAUAACGCUACGUGGAAUCACUCUUGGGGAAACUCUUGUUUUGGGGAACAUAUCAUA
rnacentral:lncRNA from 1 species